CCUGGCCCCGCCUCGGCCGACCAUGGCCUUGCUCCUGGGCCUGCCUCAAACCCUCCGCAGAGCUUAGAAGCAAAGUUAAGAAACUCAUCAGAUUCUGAGCUUCUGCGGGAUAUUUUGCAGAAGGUAAGAGUCCCAGAGUCCCUGGGACUCAUGACCCUGCCUCCUGAAUCUCUCCGGAAGACCUGAGAGAAGAACCACAGGUGUGCUUGUACCCUUUAAAAACACCCCUGUUCAAAGAACAAAACCAUUGAGUCAGCACUGCAGACUGUGAAGCAUCCUGUGUGUGUGAAGCACCCGCCGUCAGUCAAGUAUGCCCGGUGCUUUCUCUCAGAACUCAUCAAAAAGGUCAGUUAUGGGCAGUGUCCACCCAGUAGCCGGACAGCAUAGCCACCUGCAUGCUGGAGCCCCCGUCCUUCCCAGGCCCUGGCCCUGCUUUGCAAACCCCAGCAUGGCAGGGGCCUCCCCAGGCAACUGGCUGCAGCUGUGUGUGACCCAUGGGAAACAGUGCAGGGCGGGAAGAAGGGGAGGCCAGCGUCUCUCCCUCACUCUGCCUCCUGGGGUUUCCGCAGCAGCUGCUUCUCUGGGGCCCCAGCUCCUAGCAUAUGGAUUCUCAUUCCUACCAGGCUGGCCCAGCCCACAGCACUGGAACCCUCACCCACACCCUCUGUCCUGCCCGCCAAAGGGUUUGGAGUUUCCUGCUCUUUUCCGUCUCUGGGUUGCCCCACGGG